GGUGAGAGCAGGAAGAGACGCCCACGUGGAGCCCUGACGACCCGAUGGAUCCCCCCACCCCCGACUCAUCCCCCCCUCCUCCCCUGAGCCCCCCCGUGGGCGGUUCCGUGGGAGGGGGAGGGGGGGCCGCUGCCCGUCCUCGUUGGGGUGGCUGCCCCCGUGCUGCUGCGGGGGGAGACGGAGCGGCUGCUGCGGGAUUUGGGGCGCAGCCGCCCCCUGCCCCCAUCCCUGAGGCACCUCAAGAGGGUGAGGGGGGGGCCCGGGGGGGCCGCUGUGCUGCUGUGCCUGGAGGAGGAGCUGGGGGGCGACGGAGACCCAAGAGCUUCAAGUGACCCCAUGGCUCCAGGACCCCCAGAUGCCACCAGGACCCCAAGUGUCACCCAUGUCCCCAUGGAUAUGGGGUCACCAAGCGCCACCCAUGUCCCCAUGGCUCCAGGACCUCCA
rnacentral:lncRNA from 1 species